GAAAAAUAUACAAGAUACAGCCUACUGGCCUCAGCUGGCUAAGGGCUCAAUUAUGAUUCUAUACACGUUGCCUGAAUGAAACACAGUCAGCCUAAUGACUGGAAAUUCCAAAAAUGUAACAGCUACUGUCCCUUGGCCUGUUUAAAACACACACACACAAACACACACAGCCCCACACUCAUUCUGAAUCAGGUUUGGAUAAAUUAACACAUUCUGGGUCAGGUUUGGAUAAAAUCAGUUUUCUACCAAUGCCUUCUCUGUAAAUAAUACUUCGUAGUAAUGUGGAGCAUCAAAAAUGAUUAGAGGAAA
rnacentral:lncRNA from 1 species